UAGAAGUAUAACUUUUGUACAGUUGACAUCAACAUAAGAGCACAAAAAUCAUAAGAGCUUAAUCCUUAAGUAACAAUAAAAUCAACUUCAGUUUGAAGUAUAAAGAUGCACAAUAAUUCCUUAGUUACUCUUCAAUUUCAUCUUUAGAAUAAGAAACAUGUCCGGUUUCUUGACUGUAGUGGCACCAAAUAUCAUCGCCAUCCUUAUCAUGCCUGGUUUCAAGUAGACUAGAUUGAGAGUAAUCUGUACCACCAUAUUGAACAUAAAUUUUUCUAAAAUCUGACAUCAAUAGCAAGAUAUUUAAGGUGUCUCCAUGAUGUACUUAUUGAACUUAAUUCCCCAAUAGCAAGAUAUUUAAGGUGUCUCCAUGAUGUACUUAUUGAACUUAUUCCCCAAUACUUGUUGAACUUAAUUUUCAUCUUGUUCGCUGUCUCCAUGAUGUACUUAUUUGUACUACUCAUAUGCUUGUUGAUCCCUUUCCCAAUGGCGAACACCUCUGCCAUAUACGAAGCACUUGUCACAUACAAAGAACCAGACAAACGAAUUGUGGAUUUAUAAAACAAUUCAAGCAAGGGAAGCACCGAUUCAACAUAGUCCCAAUCUCCAUCUGUUAUUCCAUGCGUUGUUUUCUCUUCCAUUUCUCGACGAAAUGUGACCUCUCGUACGCUUAACUCGUGAAAGGCCUUUCUAUACUUCAAGGCAACCGUCAACAUUGAAUACAUUGAGUUCCAACGAGACCAAUCAUUUUAUAAUUAAGUGUUAUUCAUCGUUUACUGCAACAUAGCCUUAACAAACCAUUUCCAAUCCAUCAAUGAUAUUUGUGCAAACCUACAUUACUCCUAAAACACGCCUCUCAUCACUUAUCAUAAGCCUGCAAUGUGACAAUUUCUGUAAUAUAAUUGAAAAGAAAACAUUGAACCUGCACUUGAUAACAUAGAAAAGUGGCACCAAACUUGCUAAAUUCAAACUAGACUAGCAAUAGCGUCAAAGAAGAACUAGAAAUUGAAGGAAAUGAAAAUGGUGAAUUCAAAAACAAGCAGUGACACACUUAACCCAAAAUCAAUCAUACUCAAAAACCAAAAUCAAUCAUACCCAGAAACAAAAAUUAAACAAAAUCAUACCUAUAAACAGAAAUCAAACAAAAUCAUACACAGAAACCAAAAUCAAUCAUACCCAGAAACAAAACUAAAAAAAAUCAUACCCAUAGUAACCAAAAUCAAAAUCAAGCAUACCCAUAAACUAAUAGUACCUUAUGAAUCUUCAGACGAAGAUUCGCAGAAGAAGAAGAGGUGGAAUCGUAGUGAAAUCAGAGAAGAGACAAUAUCGCAGGAAUUAGGCUUCCAUUGAGAUUGAAGAGGUGGAGAGUGAGCUCCGAUUGAGAUUGAAGAGCUUCGUUGAGAUUGAAGAGCUUCGAUUUAUGCAUGUGGACCUUCGAUUGAAGAUGUGAAGAGUGAAAUUAGGGUUUAGAGUGA
rnacentral:lncRNA from 1 species